GGGGCUCUUCAGGGACUCUCCCUCUGGACACAUCUUGCAGUCCCCACCGGCAGACGGAAGUUUGGCCAACGGAAGACUGUCCCUGUGCCACUCGAGAGUCACACUCAGCUUCGCCGUAGGUGAUUUGUUCAAGCCCGGAGAGGUCAUCGAUGGCCAAGUUGGUAACAGAACUCAGGAACACCUGGUUCUCAGUCCUGCUCAUGGACAGUACAUCUGUUUCCCACAAGCAGCAGAAGGUGCCAGAGUCAAUGUGAGGCUGAGGGGAGCAGAUACCUUCCAAGAAGCUGCUGCCUUCUCUGAAGCUGACAUAAUGCAAGCAGGACCCAAGAGACCACACAACGACAAAGGCUGUUGCUGGGAAAGGCAGAAAUAAAUGACAGGUCAUGUAGAGUGAGCAGGAGGCAGCAAGAAGAAAGAUUUAAUUUAAGAUGAUCAAAAAAGCCAAUAAUUUUUCAUGGGUUUUAGUUUUAAUUGUGUCGAACACCCUCCUUCCCUCCCCACCACCACCACUCUUGUAAAUAUUUUUCAUUUUUCAACAAAAAACCUAAAUCCAAGACUCCAGGUUUGUUUGUUUUCACAAGCCAGUUUGGGGAAUAUAUUUAAUUAGUUAGGCAUGACACUUUUUCCAAUAAAUAAAUAAAUAAAUAAAUAAAUUGGGGUGUUUUGAAAUGUUCAAGUUUUUCUGUUGGAAAAACUGGAAAAUUUCAACCAAAUGAAAAUGGUCUUUUUUGGACAAAGAACUGACUGAGCCACAUCACCCCCCUUUUGAAGGGAGAGAGAAAGAAGAGGGACAUAUACCCUGGAGGUUCUCAAUCUAUGGUUUAUGGAGACCUGAGAGGGAGACAAAGUAGUGCUUGGACUAUGCCUGGAAGAUGCACCGAAUAAAACUAUUCCUACUAGCUACUCCAAACAUCAGUGAUCAAACAAAUGGUGAAAGUGUUCUGCAAUAAUCAGUCUUGUGCUGCUGGAAAGAUGAUGAGGAUUUCUACAGAGAGGAGGAAGAAGGCUUGCCAGAUCCUCUGCAAAGCUGAGAAGAAGGGCAUCAAUUUCAUUCCAUGACACGUUUUGGCAGCGAAGAAGUCAGUGCUAAAAAAAACGCUGCUUUAACAAAAAAUUAUCCUGCUCUACCAUCUAUGGGGGCAGGAGGAUUCCAAAAAUAUGUAACAGAUAGGGUGACCAGACAGCAAAUGUGAAAAAUUGGGACGGGGUGGGGGGUAAUAGGCACCUAUAUAAGACAACCCCCCCAAAAUCGGGACUGUCCCUAUAAAAUCAGGACAUCUGGUUACCCUAGUAACAGAUAAAGAAACCCAUCCACUGACUGAAGCCUGCUUUGCUAUUUCUCUGGAGAAAUGCAAAGAUUCUUUCAGACUCUCCUUUGGAACAAGUAUUUCCUGACUCAGACCCUGAUCACUAUAAAUAAAUUUGAACUGAUGACACACAGGCACUAAUCCUUUAUUGCUGAUCUUGCUGUGUCAAUUACAGCCCCUACAGAGUAUUCAGAUCCAUCAGUAUGGCACCUUCCAGAAGCAUGAUACUCAUGUCACAAUUUCAGGGUUAGCUUCACCGCAUGCCCUUCCUUGGCAUCCUUGAUGGCACCCACUUAAGGUUUCAUGCCUCCUAGCUAUCGCCUCUCUUGGGAAGAAACUCACAUCUCUCUCCCUCCAGAGCAGCAGUUUAGGAUUUGAUUCCCUCUGCACCUCACUGUGACUUCCUCAACAGGUCUGACUUGGUGCCGGCACCUGUGGUUUGCGCUUUCUCCAGGGGCUAAAACAGUGUAUAACAGUUAUCAACCAGCCUCCGAAAACCAAAGUACAUUCAUUCUUAGGGCAAAAGCAUCACACAGAAAACAUACACAAGACAAUAAAUGGUCCUAUAUGCAUAUUAAGGUAACCCCAACUCGAAAUAGGGUUCUGGUAGAUGUCAGUCUUACAAACUCCUCAACUGGGUUUGCUCUCUUAGUUAGGCUACGUCUUCACUACCCGCCUGAAUCGGCGGGUAGAAAUGGAUCUCUCGUGGAUCGAGUUAUCGCGUCUCGUUGGGACGCGACAAUCGAUCCCUGAAUCGAUGCUUGUACUCCACCAGCACAGGUAGGAGUA